GUUUUUGGCGCCGGCUGUGAGGGGAGCGCGGGGGUGGUGGAAUCGGGCGGUCUCCGGUUCGCCAAUGUGGCUGGGUCCGUAGGCUUGGGCAGCCUUGGAGUUCCUCAGAGACCCCGCGCUCGGUCCCGGCACGCACUCACGCCGCGGCUCCUGGUGGCCCUGGAGCGAGGAGUCCGCCAGCACCGGAAGUUCAGGGACCGCGGAGUUCCCGUUGGCCCUUUUGGAGGCACAGCUUAUCCCUGCUUGCCCGCGAGCAUGGGGCCGGAGGCACCCCCCGGCUGCAGGCAGUCUCCUGAGAGCUGUUAAUAAAGGCAGUCGCGGGUCUGUGCGAGGUUUUCUGUGAGAAAUGCACGAACCUCCCCUACCCCACAGAACCUCAAGCGGGAGAUAUUUCUCGACAUGGGGAACGGCCUCGGAGAAGUAACUUUCUGGCCUCACAGGGCAGGGAGAGGGGCCUGGGAGGGCCGACCGCAGAGCCGGGCCUUUGACCGCCCACAGGUUCCCUGGUUAUUAUUUGGGUCGAAUGCGCCAAUUAAGGUGGUGGCUGCGAAGUCAGUGUCACCAGAUGGCCCGGGAGCAGGUCGAGAGCCACCGGCAGGGUUCCCCGGCGGCAGGGCGAAGGAGGCCGCCAGUGACUUCCACGGUUAGCUUUGUGGGUGGGUCUCACUCGAUGCCGGGCUUAGCAAACCAGAGCAUUUCCCUCCGUCCAGGGCCUGCCGGGGAUCCAUCCCAUCCAUAGGUCCAGCUAUGGAUCCAUCCAUACCUCAUUGUUCCUACAGAACCAGGAUAUCUGCAGCUACGGCUGUACUUGUUAAAAAUCACCUCAGGCCGGGCGCGGUGGCUCAGAUCCGCAAUCCCAGCAUUUUGGGAGGCCGAGGCGCAUGAACCGGGGAGGCGGAGGUUGCAGUGAGCCGAGAUCGCCCACUGCACUCCAGCCUGGGCGACAGAGCGAGACUCCGUCUCAGAAAGAAAAGCAUUUGUUAAGGCCGGGUGCGAUGGCUCAUGCCUGUAAUCCCAGUACUUUGGGAGGCUGAUGCAGGAGGAUCGCUUGAGUCCAGGAACUUGAGACCGGCCUGGGUAAUAUAAUGCGACCCUGUCUCCACACAAAAAAUAAUUAGCGGGCAUGGUGGCGCUCGCCUGGAGUCCCAGCUACUCGGGAGGCUGAGGUGAGAGGAUCGCUUGAGCCCAGGAGGCGGAGGUUGCAGUGAGCCGAGAUCGCGUCAUUGAACUCCAGCCUGAGGAACAAGAGCGAAACCCCAUCUCAAAAAAAAAAAAAAGAAAGAAAAUAAAAUUAUUUGUUAAAUGAAUGAAGUAUUUAGGUAGAAGCAGCAGCAGGGAGAGCCGGCAUGGCUCAAGUGGCGUUGCUUUGGAGUUGGUCUGGGGCAGCAAAAUAGCAAUAUCUAACACUUCAUAAUGCUGAUUCAGUGCCAGGCGCUCUUCCAGCUCUUUACAUAUUAAUUAACUUACUCUUCAAAAUAACCUUUCCAAAAAGUUACCACUGUUUUACAGAAACUGGGACAUAGAGGUAAAUUAACUUGUCCAGGGUCGCAUAGCUAGCAGUGGAGGCGUAGGAUAUAAGUGAAGACACUGCUGUGUCAUCCCAGUUUCUUUUUUUUGAGACAGAAUCUCACUCUGUCACCCAGGCUGGAGUGCAGUGGCAGGAUCAUGGCUCACUGCAGCCUUGACAUCCCCAGCUAUAUCAAUCCUCCCUCCUCAGCCUCCCAAAGGUGAGCCACCACGUCUGGCCUGUUUGUUUCUAAAUGCUUUUUUGUUUUCUUUUGAAAACAUGAGUAUUUAUUGAAUUGUAAAGUAUACACAUAGUGCAAAAUUCAAAAGAUUCAAACAGAUGCACAAUAAAAGGUCUCCCUCCCGUUCCUGUCCCCUAGGCCUCCCAGUCUCAAGGCAGUGGCAGUCUCUUGUAUAUCCUUCCAGAUUCAGCCGUACGUGCAAAUAGACAAGUAUAUUUGUUAUAUUUAAUACAAACGCUAUCAUAUACACUGUUCUGAGCUCUUCUUUUGUGUUAACUAUAUGUAUCUUGUAACUCAUCCUACAUCAGCACAUGUAGAGCUGCCUCAUUCUUUUUAAUAGCUACAUGGCAUUCCUUGUGUGGAAGGAUCACAAUUUAUCUAGUCACCAUUGCUGGAUAGUUAGGGUUUUUUGCUAUGUUUGGCCAUUACAAACUGCUAUAGCAAAUAUUCUCACUUACGUUAUUUUACACAAAUCAUAUCUGUAGAACAGCUGGGUCAAGGGUAUGGACUUUCACAUUUUCAUAGAUGUUCUCCCAAGUGCUGUCUUUGGUUGGGGUUUUCCAUGGCCGUUCCAGCCAAGAGCGACCCCACCUGCUCCAGCUGGCUCAGAUUAUCUGCUGCCCCUGAGCUCCAAGGCUGGGAGACAGUGCUCCACGUUUUAGCAGAGGAAGAACUAGAUGGUGGUGAGAGGUGUGAGCAUGGCUCUAAUUAUUGUGGGGAGUGUGACUAGUCUCAGACACCAGCCAAGAAGCUGCAGGGAUACCACUGCCUUGAGUGGCCACUGGCUGCUUCUUUGGGCCUGCAUGGACCCGGCCCAACUCUGUCUGCUGCUGUGGUCUGGCUGCCCCCCAUGAAACCUGUGUAGUGAGGCACCCACUUGGGACACCCAUGGGCACUUCUGACCCCUGAGACCCAGUAGGCCAUAGUGGGCCUCAUACUCAUGCUAGGAUCUGACAGCCCACUGGAGGGGGUCUGCAGGCUUCCAAGGAUUAACUCCACUUCCCAGGACUGGGCUUCUAGGAAAUAAGUGUCUCAGUUAGGCUCCAACUAGCCAAGAAAAAUCACAUUGAGUAUUUAAAAAAGAGGGAGCUUAGCGCAGGGACGUGGUGACAUGAGGGAUAGAAUUGCUGAGAAGCCGAGGGGACUGAGCAGGAAGCAGCUGCCCCCCUUCCAGGCUCUUCCACUGAAGGCUAUGAUGAGGGCCCGGGCUGAUGCCAGGGAAGCUUCAGAAGGUCAGGAGGUUGGGGACAUCCUGUGUCUCCCCUGCUCCUCCCCCUGAGUUGCAGGUAGGGCUGGCCAGACCCAGCCAGCACCCAGCCCACAAAGCCUGCAGGGUGAGUCCCUGCCAUGUAGGCCGAGCAGGGCAGGGCUGGGCACCCCAGCUGGCCGGGAGGGAGUUCACAGCCUCAGCUUCCAGAGCUCCAGGUCUGCUGAGUGUGAAGGCCUGGGGUGUCUGCUAUGAAGUUCCCUUUACCAGUCCAGCCUCCUUCUGUCUUCCUUCUGUCUUUGGGUUCACUGAGGCCUUUGGAUACUGCCCAGAUCUUCCCCAACACUUUCCCCCAGAUGUCAAAGGGGGACCCUAAGCUCUUCCUCCCUUGCCAGGCCUUGCUUAGUGUGUUAGCGAGCCUUUCCCAGAGGAGGCAUCUGUGUCUCAGGGUCCCAGGAGCCGGAGCCAGAGAACCCAGCCUUUGUCUUCCCGAGGCAGCCCGAGAAGCUUCACCUGUUCACCCAGAGGUAGAGUCAGCCCGUUGCCAACAACUGCAGGCCCCUGAGCCUGCUGGAGGAGGGUGUUGUGGGCCCCAGAUCAACGUCAUCCCCAACUUCCCUGCUGCACCUCCCAGGCCUCUCCAUCCAGGAGGUUGGGCCCUGCUGGAGAGAAAUCUGUGAUGAUGCAGAUUUGGGGCCUCCAAAUGCCCUGCCCUCCCAGCAGCUGCCCUGGUAGCAGCCCCAGCUGCUAGCCCAGAUCAUCUUCCAGGAGCUCCUGAACGCUCUCAUUUCCCUCUCCCCAGCCUCUAUGCCAAGCCUCUUCCCUCAGGCCCCUCACCUCUCCUUCUCUGCCCUCCCUGUCAACAGAGUUACUCUAUCUUCUCCUUCAUAGGGAAGGACAAACCUCCCAGAGGGAUUCCCACCCUCUGAUUUCUAUACAUUUGCAGACAUCCUGAGCUCUCUCUGCCACUCCAAAGCCCCAAGGAAACCAGAGUCUUUCUCUAUAGCACCCCUUCCCCUGUGCCAGCGAGCCCCUCCUCACCCCCUCCUGGGGUUCCCACUACAGUGAUCUCCUCAGCUGUCACUCGCCACUUUUUUGUGUUUUUUGGUGUGUGGGUGUGUGGGGGUGUGGGUGUGUGUUUUUGGACUCACUCUGUUGGCCAGGCUGGAGUCCAGUGGUGUUAACACAGCUCACUGCAGCCUCGACAUCCCAGGCUCAGGUGAUCCUCCCACCUCAGUCCCUUAAGUAGCUAAGACUACAGGCGUUUGCUACCACGCCCAGCUACUUUUUGUAUUU
rnacentral:lncRNA from 1 species